AGGAAGGUAAUCUUGGAAACGGACUGUAAACACUGGUGGGAAUGCUUCAAGGAAAAGAGGGCCUUAAACCUCGCUUACGUUUUAUAGUCAAGGAAGCACAACAGGUGGGUGAAAGAUUACCGGCAUGGUCGGUGGUUCAUUCGAGAAGGGAGAAGAAUGGAGUGGCGCACAAACUUGCUCAACUGGCAAGGCGUACAAGACAUGCGGCAGUGUGGCGUAUGCGUUGUCCG
rnacentral:lncRNA from 1 species